GGGGCUUUUACCAGGAAGGGGUGCAGUGAGAUGCUUUACCAUCAUGCAUCCAGAUGCAUUUCCAUCAAGUGUCCUAUGUCUGUGACUCCGUCCAUUGGUUUUCCCUACAGACCAAACCGGACUGAGUUACACCAGUUCUGUCUGUUGGAAUGGGCAAAAAUUCCAGCAAGGUUUAGUGAGAAGAUUGUGGAAGGCUACACCAAGGCAAAUGAUGGCCUCCUUCACUUGCAUUGAGAUCUCCAUGGACUUCAUAUUGGUAGCUCCAGUCAAACAGCUGCCAAAUGCCAACUCAAUACCUGAUAUCAACUCCAGACCUUUUAUCUGCUUCAUUUGUCUUGAAGUAACGAGGGAAUGAACCGCACCUGGACAAUUAACUUCUUGUCAGUCAAUUGUCCAAAUACCUUUGAGCCCCUGAAAAUUGAAGUACUUUGCUUAAAAUGGCUGUAAUUCCUAAAUGGUAAAUGCCAUAUUAUUG